ACGGGAGGCAGCAGCUAAGAAUAUUCCGCAAUGGACGAAAGUCUGACGGAGCGACGCCGCGUGGAUGAUGAAGGCCGGAAGGUUGUAAAAUCCUUUUAUGACUGAGGAAUAAGUGGAGUGAGAGAAACGCUUCAUGGUGACUGUAGGUCAUGAAUAAGCAACGGCUAAUUACGUGCCAGCAGCCGCGGUAACACGUAAGUUGCGAGCGUUGUUCGGAAUUAUUGGGCGUAAAGGGCAUGUAGGCGGUUUUGCAAGCUUGGUGUGAAAGGCAGGAGCUUAACUCCUGGACUGCGUUGAGAACUGCAAGACUUGAGUCACUGAGGGGCAAUCAGAAUUCCUGGUGUAGGGGUGAAAUCUGUAGAUAUCAGGAAGAAUACCAAUGGCGAAGGCAGGUUACCAGCAGAUGACUGACGCUGAGGUGCGAAGGUGCGGGGAGCAAACAGGAUUAGAUACCCUGGUA
rnacentral:rRNA from 1 species